CGCGUAGGCGGCUUUGUAAGUCAAAGGUGAAAUCCCUCGGCUCAACUGAGGAACUGCCUUUGAAACUGCAAGGCUUGAGGCCGGGAGGGGGUAGCGGAAUUCCCAAUGUAGCGGUGAAAUGCGUAGAUAUUGGGAGGAACACCAGUGGCGAAGGCGGCUACCUGGACCGGUUCUGACGCUGAGGCGCGAAAGCGUGGGUAGCAAACAGGAUUAGAUACCCUGGUAGUCCACGCUGUAAACGAUGGGUGCUCGGUGUCGCGGGUAUCGACCCCUGCGGUGCCUUAGCUAACGCGUUAAGCACCCCGCCUGGGGAGUACGGUCGCAAGGCUGAA
rnacentral:rRNA from 1 species